GACGAACGCUGGCGGCGUGCCUAAUACAUGCAAGUAGAACGCUGAAGAGAGGAGCUUGCUCUUCUUGGAUGAGUUGCGAACGGGUGAGUAACGCGUAGGUAACCUGCCUUGUAGCGGGGGAUAACUAUUGGAAACGAUAGCUAAUACCGCAUAACAAUGGAUGACCCAUGUCAUUUAUUUGAAAGGGGCAACUGCUCCACUACAAGAUGGACCUGCGUUGUAUUAGCUAGUAGGUGAGGUAACGGCUCACCUAGGCGACGAUACAUAGCCGACCUGAGAGGGUGAUCGGCCACACUGGGACUGAGACACGGCCCAGACUCCUACGGGAGGCAGCAGUAGGGAAUCUUCGGCAAUGGGGGCAACCCUGACCGAGCAACGCCGCGUGAGUGAAGAAGGUUUUCGGAUCGUAAAGCUCGGUUGUAAGUCAAGAACGAGUGUGAGAGUGGAAAGUUCACACUGUGACGGUAGCUUACCAGAAAGGGACGGCUAACUACGUG
rnacentral:rRNA from 1 species